CGGGACCCAAAGGCUCCCAAGGCCCUCCAGGUCCCUAAUUUGCCGGGCCAGUACAGGACGGCUUCCGAUUCACCCGUCACAGCCAAAAGCAGAACGUGCCACAGUGCCCAGGGGGCAGCAACCUCAUCUACUCCGGAUACUCCGUCCUGUUCAUCAAUGGCAACAACAGAGGCCAUGGCCCGAAUCUGGCAAACAGGGGCUGGAGCAGAGGGCUCUGGUCAGCUGCUGGCCUCUUCGUGGUCCUGCCUAGAAGAGUUCAGGAAGAUUGCCUUCAUUGAGUGCCAUAGGCGAGGGACUUGCAAUUACUACACUGACUCCUACAGCUACUGGCUGGCCCUGUUGGACCCCGAAAACAUGUUCAGUCCUCUCCUCGGCUCACGCUGAUAUUUUCAGCAAGGGAUAGACAGAAGGAGAGUGCACAAGGAAACAAGGAAAGACUAUUGAGACGCAACCUGUUAGUGGCAUCUGCUCAAUCUGACGUUUUGUUCUCAGUUUUACUGUUUGUUUGUUUGUAUUUUGUUUUUAUUACUAAAUGACUGUUUUAUGAUUGACUGUUUUAUGGCAGAUGGUCAGUGUGAUCCAGGACUAGAUUCAAUCAGUUCAGCAUUAAGCCGUGAUAACCGACAGCUGCAGAGCAUAAUCAUGCGUUGGAGCCGAUGGCGCUAUAGAAUAAAUAUAUUUUUUAAUAUAUGUCAAACAGUUAAUAUGUUGACACAUUUGCUAGAAAAUCAGAGGUCUUAGGUUUGAGCCUUGGUUUGGGACGAAUCAGGAGGAAGGGGUUCUCGCUAAGUAAGUACCGUGACCCUGAUGAGCAGUUGGGUUCAGGUCAUCAUCCGGAAUCACUUGCUUUGAAGCAAGUUGAGAAGGGGUGAGUGUAACAGAGCUAAUAACAUACUAUAAGCUCACUCCACAGCUAGCGUGAAAUGUAUCCGAAGGAGCAAUUUAAUUCAAUAUUUUUCAGUAGCUCAAAAAAAAAAUGGUUGGUAAUGUCAAGGAAGGCGGUCACGUGUGUUAGCAAGGCAGAGGUCCUCGGUUCGAGCAUCAGUGUGAGCCCGAAUCAGGAGGAAGUGGUUCUCCCUAGCAGGCAGGCUGACCUCUGUAACAUAGGCUAUAUAUAAAUAAUAACACUCAAAAAUCACAAAAUAAAAUAAUAAGGAUUUAUAUCAGCCUAAUCGAGGUCUAGAUUCUCACAUUACCGUGUUUGAACUUGUAUCACUGCAUGGGAUUUCUACUAAUGUGACUUGGUGUAUAUAGCCAGGAGCAGCUUGUGGAUUUUACAUCUCCAAUGCAGUUACCCCUCCGACACCGCCCUAAACAAAAUAAAUGAUAUGCUAUGCAGUUGUUGGUUAUCGCGGGUUAACGCUGAACUGAUUGAAUCUAGGACUCAGUCUUUUUGAUACAUUUGAAUGGAAAGUUAACUGCCUGACAAAGUGCCUGACUGCCUGAGGACUCUUGUUGGAUGCUAUGUAAUAAGGAGAGGGAGGAAUGCUCUUCACACUGAAAAAUAAACUGUCCGACUCAAAAGUCUUAAAUAAUACAAAAUGUUUUGUGCAAAAAGUUUUUUUUAAAUGCACAAAACUGGUGAUCUAAAAUAAUGCAAAAUCCAUGGUGCAAAAGUUAAACAUGCUUUUAAAAAGCGUGAUCAUGUUUUGCACCUUUUACUCUCACAUUUUGUCAAAUAAAAAUAGGAAUUUCCCACUGAAUCCAGAGAUGUUUUGCAGUCUGCAUGGCCUCUCCUUCUCCUUACUGCUACUGCUGCUCUAUUACCGACAGCAUGCUGAAUGGACUCAUUUAGCCUGGGCAGAAACACAUUUUUCUCAUUACUGGAUGCACAUUUGAAUGAAAGGUUCAGAUUGAAUUCCACCACUUUUAAACAUCAUAUUCAUUAUCUCCAGCACCAUACCAGUCUACAUACUGUAUGUGCAAAUGGUCUGUAGUCAAAAAGAUAAGAAGAAACACAUGAUGUCAUCAACAUUAAAACUGAAAAUGGUGCUGGAGAUAAAGAAUACAAGUUUAAAAAGUGGUGGAAUUCCACUUUAACUGCCUGUCUAGCUACCUGAUGGCCUGUCUAUGUGUUGGAUAUUAUGUUGUCUAUUGUGUGCUAAGAGUAUGAUAGCAAUCUGGUAGAAGAUUGGUACCUUAUUGGGAGUACAUCAGUUACAGAUCAGCUGUUAACGCCAGACAGCUGAACUAGGAUCAGUUUUGUUAUCAGCAAUUGAGUUUGGAGGGAAAAGCGUGAACAUUUCACUUAAAGACAGCGAGUGCAAUGCAUUAUGAUGCAUUCCAAUCCAAAUUCAAAUCUAGAGUCGGAUUUCUAUUCCGCAACAAAGCCUCCUUCACUCACGCCGCCUAACUUACCCUAGUAAAACAGACUAUCCUACCGAUCCUCGACUUCGGCGAUGUCAUCUACAAAAUACCUUCCAAUACUCUACUCAA